AGAGUUUGAUCCUGGCUCAGAAUGAACGCUGGCGGCGUGCUUAACACAUGCAAGUCGAACGGUAACAGAGGAGCUUGCUCCUGCUGACGAGUGGCGCACGGGUGAGUAAUGCAUAGGUAACGUGCCCCUUAGUCUGGGAUAGCCACUGGAAGAUACGUUGAUUGUUUUUAAGGACAAUCAAGAAAGGUGGCCUCUAUUUAUAAGCUAUCACGCAUGGAGGGGUCUGCGUAGCAUUAGCUAGUUGGUAAGGUAAUGGCCUACCAAGACUACGAUGGUUAACGGGUCUGAGAGGAUGAUCCGUCACACUGGCACUGAAACACGGGCCAGACUCCUACGGGAGGCAGCAGUGAGGAAUAUUGCGCAAUGGGGGCAACCCUGACGCAGCGACGCCGCGUGGGUGAGGAAGGCUUUCGGGUCGUAAAGCUCUGUCAGAAGGGAAGAAAUGCUUAUAGGUUAAUACCUUGUAAGUUUGACGGUACCUUCAAAGGAAGCACCGGCUAACUCCGUGCCAGCAGCCGCGGUAAUACGGAGGGUGCAAGCGUUGUUCGGAAUCACUGGGCGUAAAGGGCGCGUAGGCGGCCAAGCAAGUCAGAUGUGAAAGCCCACGGCUCAACCGUGGAAGUGCAUUUGAAACUGCUUGGCUUGAGUAUCAGAGGGGAAAGUGGAAUUCCCGGUGUAGAGGUGAAAUUCGUAGAUAUCGGGAGGAAUACCGGUGGCGAAGGCGACUUUCUGGCUGAAUACUGACGCUGAGGCGCGAAAGCGUGGGGAGCAAACAGGAUUAGAUACCCUGGUAGUCCACGCCGUAAACGAUGUCAACUAGGUGCAGGGGGUGUUGAUCCCCUCUGUGUCGCAGCUAACGCAUUAAGUUGACCGCCUGGGGAGUACGGUCGCAAGAUUAAAACUCAAAGGAAUUGACGGGGGCCCGCACAAGCGGUGGAGCAUGUGGUUUAAUUCGAUGCAACGCGAAGAACCUUACCAUCCCUUGACAUCCAGAGAAUCUACUAGAGAUAGACGUGUGCCUUCGGGAACUCUGUGACAGGUGCUGCAUGGCUGUCGUCAGCUCGUGUUGUGAGAUGUUGGGUUAAGUCCCGUAACGAGCGCAACCCUUAUCCUUAGUUGCUAGCAGGUAAUGCUGAGAACUCUAGGGAGACUGCCGGUGAUAAACCGGAGGAAGGUGGGGACGACGUCAAGUCAUCAUGGCCCUUAUGGGUAGGGCUACACACGUGCUGCAAUGGUCGGUACAGAGGGCUGCAAACUCGCGGGAGUAAGCUAAUCUCAGAAAGCCGAUCCUAGUCCGGAUUGGAGCAUGCAACUCGACUCCAUGAAGUUGGAAUCGCUAGUAAUCGCGGAUCAGAAUGCCGCGGUGAAUACGUUCCCGGGCCUUGUACACACCGCCCGUCACACCAUGGGAGUGGGUUGCAAAAGAAGUGGGUAGACUAACCUUCGGGAGGUCGCUCACCACUUUGUGAUUCAUGACUGGGGUGAAGUCGUAACAAGGUAACCA
rnacentral:rRNA from 1 species